CUGUAAAACUCCUGCCAUCUCUCCCUCCUCCCCCUCUUCACUCUCUCCCCUCUUCGCCACUUAGUUCUCUCAGUCUCUCUCUCUCUCUACUAGAAAUGGUGACGGUGCCCGCCACCACCAAGCCGCCACUACCACCAGGUGGGCCCAAGCCGGAAUCCCUCUCUCACAUCGACAUAACCAAACUCUCCCAAUCCGAGCUCCACGCCCUCUCCCUAUGCUCCGACUUCGCCCUCGACCUCCGCCGCCCAAACGACGCCAUCGCCCCCCAAAUCAACCCCUCCAUCUUCAACGAGAGCGCCGGCAGCCGCCGCCAGACCUACUCCCGCCACCACCACCACCACCACCACUCCUCCGCCGGCCUGCGCCACCGCCUCCCCUCCAACCCUAGACCCCUCCCCUCCUCUCUCUCCCCGAACGACCCUGAACGCGCCGAGAACACAACCAUCGUCAAUUUCCUCAAACACCUCAUCACCGGCGGCAGCGAAACCGAAUUGCCGCCGCCGCAACCGGUCGUUUGCGCCGGGGACAUGCAAAUGGUGGUCUCUCAAGGGCCGAGGAAGCGGAAGAGAGAGAGGAAUCCUAGUAAUAAUCCGGUGGCGGUACCGGUUGCGAACACUCAGUUGGAGAUUGUGAAUAAGAAUGGGGUGGUGGUUGAUUUCAAGGCCUUGGAGAAUGGGGAUGAAUUGUAUGCAGGGGAGUUCAGGAGGAGGACUGUGGGGUUGGAGAGUGAAGAGCAGUUUCUAGGGGUUUUGGGGGGUUUAGAAGGGCAGUGGGGGAGCAGGAGAAAGAAGCGGAGGAUUGUUAGUGCUUGUGAGUUUGGUGACUGGUUGCCCGUUGGUUGGAGGCUUUUGCUGGCACUGAAGAGGAAAGACGGCCGCGUGUCGGUUUACUGCCGCCGAUACAUAAGCCCUGAUGGACAACAGUUUGCAUCCUGCAAAGAAGCUUCUUCAUUUUUGCAGUCAUAUUUCGGACUCAAUGAUGCAAGCCAGCAAAUGGAUCUGAUGGGAGAUGACAAUCUGCAAGUCUAUGUAUUGGCUUCUGACGAUCGCGCAGGUGUUCUUCAUAAGAAUCUCAAAUUGGUGCCCAAGACAUCUAUACCUCAUGUGAAGGGGAUGGAAUUUAACUUAAUAGGGAUUGACAAUCUGCCUGAGGUUCAAGUACGGGAUCUCUUCGAGUGUUACAAGUGCAACAUGACCUUUGAUGAAAAGAAUCCCUAUUUGAAGCACCUGAUGACAUUUCACCAGAGGACCACUAAGAGGUAUAGACUGGGUUCAUCCAUUGGAGAAGGUGUAAUUAUUAAACAAGAUGGAAAAUAUGAAUGCCAGAUUUGUCACAAGGUAUUUCAGGAACGACGGAGUUACAAUGGUCAUGUGGGUGUCCAUGUAAGAAACCAUGUUAGACAUUCAGAAGAAUUGCCAGGUGAGGCCACCGUUCACAAGAGCGAUGCGUCUCCAUCUCAGGAUAAGUUACCACCUAGGAUCUCUAAAAUGGAUGCUCUGAUCGAAAUUGCCCAAAGUUCUAUUUUAGAUACUUCAUCUGCCGAACAGAAUGAUAAAGCAAAUGGUGGUUCCUCUCCUGAUAGGCUGGAAGUGGCGAGUGUUCCUGAACAUCAUGUUGUUAAUUCUGACCAUGAAUUGGCUUCUGAUCCUAAUGGACGGGAAUCGGAAGAUUGCACGACUAAGAGCAUUCCAGAUCACAGCUUUAAUCAAAAUUAUGCCCAGUGCAUAAUUAGUGAUAAAGAGAAGGUGAACAGUGUUGAGAUUUCUCCAGAACAUCAGGCUGUUAUUUCUGACCAUGAAUUGGCUUCUGAUCAUAAUGGACGGGAAUUGGAAGAUUGCAUGACUAAGAAUCAAGGCUUUAAUGAGAAUUAUGUCCAGUGCAUAAUCAGUGAAAAACAGAAGGUGAACAGUGUUGACAUUUCUCAUGUUGAGAGUAAUGUGAUGGCAGUUUGCGCUGGUACAUUUGAGCAUACUGAAGGUAGUGAAGUGGAAAAACAUGGAAAUAGUGAGCAAGAAAGUGGUUUGAACAGCCAACUUACACCAAGUCAUGUUGCAGUAACUUGGUCUUCAGAUCAAACUGUCAAUGAAAUUGGUCUUCAGAGUGGAAUUGCCGACUCUUCAAUGACCAUGACGCAAUCAUUCGACUGCUUUCCGUCAUCUACCGCCCUCUCGAAUAAGGGUGAGGAUGAAUUUGGCACCCUAUAUCAGAAGCUGGACAAUGUAACUGGCUUUGAUGAGCUGAGGUUGGAGGAAAUGGAACACCUCCAAUUCAGUUUUAUGAAUGGGCAAGAAUUACCACCUUUUCCAGAGGUAUCCGUGAAUGUGGCAAAUGAUGAAAUAAUGGAAGAGGUUUUUAAUUCUUCUGCCACAUUUCAAUCAGAGGUAAACAUUGAUUGCAGACGCCAAUUUGCAGCUGUGUGUGUAUGGUGCACAACAGAAUUUAACUAUGAGGCCUUUGAAUCUGAAGCUCAAUCAGAUUCAGUUGGUUUUAUGUGUCCAUCCUGCAAAACAAAAAUAUCUGGGCAGCUCUCGUCCAUAAAUUAUCGUCUGUAAUCAAUCUCUUGCGCUCCCCUCAUUAUUUAAAGCUCAAGUCGCAUCAGGCUUAUGGUUGCUCUUGGCGAAAUCACAGGCGAUGCAAAUUUGCGCUUAUUGCCUUUGUGAAUGGAAAAUUAUUAGAUCUGAAAUGGAAGAGUGCUUCGUAAUACAAAUAGCAACAAUGAAGAGGAUGCAGUAAAUCUUUUGUGGAAAGUAACUGUUUUGUAGCUACAAGUCAUGUAUAUAUAUAGUUAUGUCUAUGGUUGGGUUCAUGCUGGAAGACGGAGAGAUUUACCUACCUGGAUUUUGUUUCAUGAAAUGUUUGUCUGUACAUUUGCUGGCUUUUGUUUACUAUGUUGAUGUUUAUCUAUGUAUGUUGAAUUGUUUCAUAUGAUCUGGUAUGCUUCAAUUGAGGACAACAAAGAGGUCCGUAGAGUUUAAGGAUCGAAA